rnacentral:rRNA from 1 species
GACGAACGCUGGCGGCGUGCUUAACACAUGCAAGUCGAACGGAAAGGCCCUGCUUUUGUGGGGUGCUCGAGUGGCGAACGGGUGAGUAACACGUGAGUAACCUGCCCUUAACUUUGGGAUAACUUCAGGAAACUGGGGCUAAUACCGGAUAGGAGCUCCUGCUGCACGGGGGGGGUUGGAAAGUUUCGGCGGUUGGGGAUGGACUCGCGGCUUAUCAGCUUGUUGGUGGGGUAGUGGCUUACCACGGCUUUGACGGGUAGCCGGCCUGGGAGGGUGACCGGCCACAUUGGGCCUGCGAUACGGCCCAGACUCCAACGGGAGGCAGCAGUGGGGAAUAUUGCACAAUGGGCGGAAGCCUGAUGCAGCAACGCCGCGUGCGGGAUGACGGCCUUCGGGUUGUAAACCGCUUUCGCCUGUGACGAAGCGUGAGUGACGGUAAUGGGUAAAGAAGCACCGGCUAACUACGUG